ensembl:lncRNA
GAAUAAUUCAGUAUUCAUUCAUUAGUCAAUCAUGUGUUUAUUCCUUCAACAGAUUCCAUGCUAAGUGCUGACGGUAUCAAAUAAGACACAGGCUCGUACUCGGAGGAUGAGUUUCUGCCGUUGCAAAGAUUAUAUGGAAAGGGGAGGAUAAAUUCUUCCUGGUUCUUAAAGUCAGUUGAAUCGCACAAUUUUUUCUCAGCAGUUGCAAGAAUUACAGACUACCUGCUUACUGCUGGUCUGGGAUGUGGCUGCUUAAAGAAUGAAAUCUCAUGACCUGCUGUGGUUAUACCCAGGUGCUGGUGCGAAUGGUCAUUAUCCUGCCUGGCUGGAAGGUCCCUGGAGGGGGAUUUGUGGCAGCAGAAUUCUCACAUUCUCUAGGUGCUGAGGGGGUGUAGAGCUCAGUACGUAGAAAGAAGAGUGCAACUAUCAUUCACUCUGAGGAAGCCAGCUGCCACAUCACGAAGAUCCUCUGGCUAUACUAUGAAGAAACUCCCAUGACAAGGAUCUAAGGCCUCGUGGCCUUAAAAGCCAUGAGAGGGAGCAUCUUGGAGCUGAUCCUCUAUACCCAGCCUUCAGGGGACUGCAGACUGCAAGGCAACAGCUUAACUGGGAGGCCCUGAAUUGGAACCAUCCAACUACCCAGCUGUGCUGCUCUGGGAUCCCUGAACAUCAGAGACUGCCCACUGGCUCUCACCAUUUAUGGAAUUGCCUUGGCUACUCAAGGGACCAGAUGUUCCCUGGGGUUGUGACCCACUGCUCCUGCAUUUAGCCUCCUGGCUGGCUGCUUGCUUGCUUGGACUCAGCCCAGUACAGAUGGCAUUACUGCUAAAUCAGAGAGAAUGACACUCGGUUUCCUGGUCCUCCUUCAAGUUGCUACUUUGUUGGCAGUCAGAGACCUCUAACUCCUUACGGAAGGUGUGGUAUUGAGGAGAAAAGAAGUAACACCAGUGUGAGUUAAGAGGGCGAGAGUGACAAGCCCAGAGGACAACGAGAUGACCAGAUCAACUCCUAUGGAGAAAAAGUGAAGCUUCCCUGAAAGUCUGGAGGAGAUUUGCUCGGUAAAGGCUAGUAAGGGAGAUGCUGCCAUGGAGUGAGGAGGACCCCAGGGACGGCAGAAUGAGGGAAAGAAGUUAUUGAGACCGCUAGUCAUGGAAGCCCGCCCAGUGAUUAAAGCCUUUCUGUCUUCGUCACUCUGCCAGCCAGUGGCCGGUGUGGCUGACAGAUUUCGGAAGGAGAGAGGCGAGCAUAUGGCAGAAUGAGUUUUGAGCCCCAGAGAAAUCUCCCUCGGUUCCCGCUCCAUCUGUGCUUGUGGGUACCUCUCCCCACAGCACAGAGAUGCUGAGCUCAAGACAGGAGGAAUGUAUGACGGGAAAUUACAGAAACAGCUUUGUGUCGUGCUAAGCAUUAGCAAAACACUUCCGUGCCAUAGCACACAUCUCAAACCAAGACUACUAAGGAGCCCAGAUGUAUCUGAGGGCACUUGGAGAGAUUCUUCGAGUUCAGUGCACAAAGAAAACUUCCUGGAUGAAGGCAAUGUGAAAUGAGUGCUGGAAUAUGUCAGUGUUCGGCUUUGGGGUCUGGGGAAGGAUGUGUUGUGUAAAUCAUUGGCCUCCUGGGAAACAUCAGAAAUACAUUUGGAUAGCCAGGGAGUCCUGAGAGGGCUCAAGGCAGGCAAAUCGUUCAGUUGGAAUAUUUCUCAUGUGCACCUUCAACCCAAAACAAUUUUGCUGACAGAGGCCGAAUGAAAGAAAACUGGAGCCAGAGAUGUGUGUUUUAUUGUGCUAAGUGUGCUGUUAGGGCACUUUUAUUAGUUGUUGUUGCUCAGUGGCUAAGUCCAGGCCCACUCUUUGCAACUUCAUGGACUGCCAGUCUCUUUGUCCUCCACCAUCUCCCGGAGUUUGCUCAAAUUCAUGCCCAUUGAGUCGGUGAUGCUAUCUAGCUACCUCAUCCUCUGCCUUCCCUUUCUCCUCCUGCCCUCAAUCUUUUCCAGCGUCAGGGUCCUUUCCAAUGAUGUCUCUGCUUUUUAAUAUGCUGCUUAGGUUUGCCAUAGCUUUCCUUCCAAGGAGCAAGCAUCUUUUAAUUUCAUGGCUGCAGUCACUACCUGCAGUGAUUUUGGAGCCCAAAAAACAAAAAUCUGCAACUGUUUCCAUUUUUCCCCCUUCUAUUUGCCAUUUGGUGAUGGGACUGGAUGCCAUGAUCUUAGUUUUCUCAACGCGAAGUUUCAACCCAGCCUUUUCACUCUUCUCCUUUACCCUCAUCAAAAGGCUCUUUCGUUCUUCUUCACUGCCAUUAGAGUGGUAUCAUCUGCAUAUCUGAGGUUGUUGAUAUUUCUCCUGGCAAUCUUUAUUCCAGCUUGUGAUUGAUCCAGCCCUGCAUUUUGCAUGAUGUACUCUGCAUGUAAGUUAAAUAAGCCAGGUAACAAUAUACAGCUUUGAUGUACUCCUUUCCCAAUUUUGAACCAGUUCCAUGUCUGGUUCUAACUGUUGCUUCUUGGCCCACAUUCAGGUUUCUCAGGAGACAAGGAAGGUGGUCUGGUACUCCUGUUGCUAAGAAUUUUCCACUGUCUAUUGUGACUCACAUAAUCAAAGGUUUUAGUGUACUCAAUGAAACCAAAGUAGAUGUUUUUCUGGAACUCCCUUGCCUUCUCCAUGAUCCAACGAAUGUUGGCAAUUUGAUCUCUUG